rnacentral:rRNA from 1 species
UACGUAGGGGGCAAGCGUUGUUCGGAAUUACUGGGCGUAAAGGGCUCGUAGGCGGCCAACUAAGUCAGACGUGAAAUCCCCAGGCUUAACCUGGGAACUGCGUCUGAUACUGGAUGGCUUGAAUCCGGGAGAGGGAUGCAGAAUUCCAGGUGUAGCGGUGAAAUGCGUAGAUAUCUGGAGGAAUACCGGUGGCGAAGGCGGCAUCCUGGACCGGCAUUGACGCUGAGGAGCGAAAGCUAAGGGGAGCAAACGGGG